rnacentral:tRNA from 1 species
GGUCCCGUGGCCUAGCGGCGAAGGCAGCACCCUUACAAGGUGGCGACCGAUGGUUCGAGUCCAUCCGGGACUA